UACGCCGUGGUGUUGGUGGUUGGACGGUACUGGUCGGCAGUAGUUACCUGUGGUGUUGGUUGGUUGGACGGUGCUGGUCGGCAGUAGUUACCUGUGGUGUUGGUUGGACGGUACUGGUCGGCAGUAGUUAUCUGUGGUGUUGGUUGGACGGUGUUGGUCGGCAGUAGUUACCUGUGGUGUUGGUUGGACGGUACUGGUCGGCAGUAGUUACCCGUGUUUUAGGUUGGACGGUACUGGUCGGCAGUAGUUACCUGUGGUGUUGGUUGGACGGUACUGGUCGGCAGUUGUCACUGGCAUUGGUACAUAGUAUGAAAUAAGAUAUUGCAAAAGUUUGGCAUCCGAUGCGCUCUAUGUCAAAAAAUUAUUUGAAUUCGGGAAAACCCGCUCGAAAGUUGCAAAUAGCCAGAUGACGCAAAUUUACAGUCAUACUUUUGUUUGGUUUGGUUUGGUUUAACGUCCUAUUAACAGCCAGGGUCAUUUAAGGACGUGCCAGGUUUUGGAGGUGGAGGGAUACCCUGGAGAAAAACCACCGGCCUACGGUCAGUACCUGGCAACUGAUCCACGUAGGUUUCGAACUCGCAACCCAGGGGUGGAGGGCUAGUCAUACAAUGAAUAUAUCCAUUAUAAUUUAAACACUUUUUCGCAAAUAAGAAUAUCCCUAUGUUAUAGCUUUAAGUUUUGUAUUCAAAAUCUGUUUUAAACAUUUUUUUUUUUUUUUGAAAACAGUCACCACAAGGUCGACAGGCCAAUAUGCGUCAUACCUCUUUAUAUAGAACAUGUACUAUAUCAUUGUACCCGCAUAUGUCUGUUUAAUGUGCUACAUUAUAACUGCAAAUCAACAAAACAAGGAGUAUUGCACGAAUUGGUAUGAAUGUCCAGAUUAUUGGUUUUACAUUCAAUGUAUCGGGAAUAAAAUAUUUUUCAUAUAAAGUUAAUCUAAAUUUUGGAA